AGAGCCUGAAAGAGAAGGGGAGCGUCCAGCCGCCAUCUUGGGCUCUGUCUUGUCAUCCCUUGAACAAGUCUGUCUUCUCUCUUUUUUUUUUUUUUGAGACAGAGUCUCGCUCUUUCGCCCAGGCCGGACUGCAGUGGCACUAUCUCGGCUCACUGCAAGCUCCGCCUCCCGGGUUCACGCCACUCUCUUGCCUCAGCCUCCCUAGUAGCUGGGACUACAGGCGCCCGCUACCGCGUCUGGCUAAUUUUUUGUAUUUUUGGUAGAGACGGGGUUUCACCGCGUUAACCAGAGAGAAUGGGCAAGGGGUCAUCGAUGGACCGGAGAUGGGAUGGUAGGGACGGAAACUGCAGGGUCCGCAGAAGGAACUGCUCACCGAAAGCCAACAAGCUUGCCCUGUGGAAUCCCAGAAAGGCCCAGGAACUUCGGGACAUCACUGAAGGCAGAGUGAAGAGAGGAAGAGAAGACAGAGAAAUGGAGGGGAGAAAACUAUUAAAAUAAGUAAUAAGAAAACUUUCCCCAGAAGUGCGGAAUCUGAAUUUCCAGUAUAAAAGGGUCCAUUGAGCGCCAAGAACAAUGAAGGAAAAAAGGUCCCACUCAGGCCUACGUAUCAUUGUGAAAUUUCAGAACUAGAGGGAUAAAGAAAAGAUCCUAAAAGCUUCCCGAGAGAUAAAAAAGAAGAUUUUUACAAAGGAUCAGCAAUCAGAAUUGCCUCAGACUGCUCAAUAAAAACAUCAGAAGCUAGAAGAAAAUAGAGCGAGGCAUCAAAAUCCUGAGGGAAAUGAUUCCCACCUAUAAUUUCAUAUUCUGCUCAAUUAUCAAUUGAGUAUUGAAGGGAAAUAAAGACAUUUUUAGACA
rnacentral:lncRNA from 1 species